CCUACGGGAGGCUGCAGUGAGGAAUAUUGGUCAUUGGACGAGAGUCUGAACCAGCCAAGUAGCGUGAAGGAUGACUGCCCUAUGGGUUGUAAACUUCUUUUAUAUGGGAAUAAAAUGUUCCACGUGUGGGAUUUUGUAUGUACCAUAUGAAUAAGGAUCGGCUAACUCCGUGCCAGCAGCCGCGGUAAUACGGAGGAUCCGAGCGUUAUCCGGGUUUAUUGGGUUUAAAGGGAGCGUAGGUGGAUUGUUAAGUCAGUUGUGAAAGUUUGCGGCUCAACCGUAAAAUUGCAGUUGAAACUGGCAGUCUUGAGUACAGUAGAGGUGGGCGGAAUUCGUGGUGUAGCGGUGAAAUGCUUAGAUAUCACGAAGAACUCCGAUUGCGAAGGCAGUUCACUGGACUGCAACUGACACUGAGGCUCGAAAGUGUGGGUAUCAAACAGGAUUAGAUACCCCAGUAGUC
rnacentral:rRNA from 1 species